rnacentral:rRNA from 1 species
CGUCUAUAUACGUAUAGCAUAUCAAUAAGCGGAGGAAAAGAAACUAACUAGGAUUCCCUCAGUAACGGCGAGUGAAGCGGGAAGAGCUCAAAUUUGAAAUCUUCAAGGUUCUACCUUGACGAAUUGUAGUUUAAAGAAGUGUUUUCUGUUGGAGUUUUGGUAAAAGUUCUUUGGAAUAGGACAUCAUAGAGGGUGAGAAUCCCGUAUUUGACCAUUAUUUCCAACUUUGUGAUACACUUUCAAAGAGUCGGAUUGUUUGGGAAUGCAGUCCAAAAUGGGUGGUAAAUUUCAUCUAAAGCUAAAUACUGGCGAGAGACCGAUAGCGAACAAGUACCGUGAGGGAAAGAUGAAAAGAACUUUGAAAAGAGAGUUAAACAGUACGUGAAAUUGUCAAAAGGGAAGCGUUUGACACCAGUGUUGUUUUCUCGAAAAUCAAUUAAAAAUGGCGGGAUUUUGUGUUGUAUUGACUUUAUCAGCUUUCUGCACUUUUUUCCUGUCUUUUUUAAUGCACUUUUCGUUUAACAAGUCAACAUCAAUUUCUUUUGUUGUAAAAGGGUCAUUGGAAGGUGGCUUUCUUUUCGGAGAAAGUGUUUAUAGCCUUUGACUUCUGCAAUCGGAGAGACUUGAGGUCUGCAGCGUAGAUCCUUCUGGAUUAGAUACAUUUGUGCUAAGUUAUAGCCUUUCAUAGACAACUUGUUGACUAUGAUCAGUCAUGUAGCUUACUCGCUUAUGUUAUUUUACCUACGCUUAGGAUGUUGACGAUCAGCUGAGCGCG